UACGUAGGUGGCGAGCGUUGUCCGGAUUUACUGGGCGUAAAGAGCGCGCAGGCGGUCGUGCAAGUCGCGUGUGAAAGCCCCCGGCUCAACUGGGGAGGGUCACGCGAUACUGCUCGACUCGAAGGCAGGAGAGGGAAGUGGAAUUCCCGGUGUAGUGGUGAAAUGCGUAGAUAUCGGGAGGAACACCAGUGGCGAAAGCGGCUCACGUGCCCUUGU
rnacentral:rRNA from 1 species